rnacentral:rRNA from 1 species
CGGCGAAACUGCGAAUGGCUCAUUAUAUAAGUUAUCGUUUAUUUGAUAGCACCUUACUACUUGGAUAACCGUGGUAAUUCUAGAGCUAAUACAUGCUAAAAAUCCCGACUCCGGAAGGGAUGUAUUUAUUAGAUUAAAAACCAAUGCCCUCUGGGCUCUCUGGUGAUUCAUGAUAACUUCUCGAAUCGCAUGGCCUUGCGCCGGCGAUGGUUCAUUCAAAUUUCUUCCCUAUCAACUUUCGAUGUUUGGGUAGUGGCCAAACAUGGUUGCAACGGGUAACGGAGGGUUAGGGCUCGACCCCGGAGAAGGAGCCUGAGAAACGGCUACUACAUCCAAGGAAGGCAGCAGGCGCGCAAAUUACCCAAUCCCGACACGGGGAGGUAGUGACAAUAAAUACUGAUACAGGGCUCUUUUGGGUCUUGUAAUUGGAAUGAGUACAAUUUAAAUCCCUUAACGAGGAACAAUUGGAGGGCAAGUCUGGUGCCAGCAGCCGCGGUAAUUCCAGCUCCAAUAGCGUAUAUUAAAGUUGUUGUGGUUAAAAAGCUCGUAGUUGAACCUUGGGCCUGGCUGGCCGGUCCGCCUCACCGCGUGCACUGGUCCGGCCGGGCCUUUCCCUCUGUGGAACCCCAUGCCCUUCACUGGGUGUGGCGGGGAAACAGGACUUUUACUUUGAAAAAAUUAGAGUGCUCCAGGCAGGCCUAUGCUCGAAUACAUUAGCAUGGAAUAAUGAAAUAGGACGUGCGGUUCUAUUUUGUUGGUUUCUAGGACCGCCGUAAUGAUUAAUAGGGACAGUCGGGGGCAUCAGUAUUCAAUUGUCAGAGGUGAAAUUCUUGGAUUUAUUGAAGACUAACUACUGCGAAAGCAUUUGCCAAGGAUGUUUUCAUUAAUCAGGAACGAAAGUUAGGGGAUCGAAGACGAUCAGAUACCGUCGUAGUCUUAACCAUAAACUAUGCCGACUAGGGAUCGGACGAUGUUAUUUUUUGACUCGUUCGGCACCUUACGAGAAAUCAAAGUGC